rnacentral:rRNA from 1 species
GACGAACGCUGGCGGCGUGCCUAAUACAUGCAAGUAGAACGCACAGUUUAUACCGUAGCUUGCUACACCAUAGACUGUGAGUUGCGAACGGGAGAGUAACGCGUAGGUAACCUGCCUGGUAGCGGGGGAUAACUAUUGGAAACGAUAGCUAAUACCGCAUAAUAUUAAUUAAUGCAUGAUAAUUAAUUGAAAGGUGCAAUUGAACCACUACCAGAUGGACCUGCGUUGUAUUAGCUAGUAGGUGAGGUAACGGCUCACCUAGGCGACGAUACAUAGCCGACCUGAGAGGGUGAUCGGCCACACUGGGACUGAGACACGGCCCAGACUCCUACGGGAGGCAGCAGUAGGGAAUCUUCGGCAAUGGACGAAAGUCUGACCGAGCAACGCCGCGUGAGUGAAGAAGGUUUUCGGAUCGUAAAGCUCUGUUGUAAGAGAAGAACGGGUGUGAGAGUGGAAAGUUCACACUGUGACGGUAUCUUACCAGAAAGGGACGGCUAACUACGUG